GUCCCUAAUUUGGGUACAUUUAUUAUAAUUGAAACGAUACAAAGAAGAUUAACAUGACUCCGUGCAAAUAGGAUACUCAUAUAUUUGAUCUCUUCUAUAGUUCU
rfam:Solanum tuberosum cultivar DM 1-3 516 R44 scf00226_59, whole genome shotgun sequence.